UCUCCGUAGGUGAACCUGCGGAGGGAUCAUUACAGAGUUCAUGCCCUCACGGGUAGAUCUCCCACCCUGUGUUAUUAUACUUUGUUGCUUUGGCAGGCCGCCCGCGUGGGCUACCGGCUCCAGCCGGUAAGUGCCUGCCAGAGGACCCCAAACUCUGAAUAUUUUAUUGUCUGAGUACUAUAUAAUAGUUUAAAACUUUCAACAACGGAUCUCUUGGUUCUG
rnacentral:misc_RNA from 1 species